rnacentral:sRNA from 1 species
UCGACCAAGGUUCGACUCGAGCGCCAGCGAGAGAGCGUUGCCGCAGGCAACGACCCGAAGGGCGAAGCGCUGAGUAAUCCUUCCCCCACCACCA